rnacentral:miRNA from 1 species
AAGGGCCUGUAUUUGUAUAGCGC